rnacentral:ncRNA from 1 species
CUGGUUGAUCCUGCCAGUAGUUAUAUGCUUGUCUCAAAGAUUAAGCCAUGCAUGUCUAAGUACACACGAAUUAACAGUGAAACCGCAAAAGGCUCAUGAUAUCAGUUUAUGUUCCUUAGAUCGUUUAACAGUUACUUGAAUAAUUCUAGUAAUUCUAGAGCUAAUACAUGCAAUGAAAACACGGACCUUUUGGAACGUGUGCUUUUAUUAGGCUAAAACCAAGCGAUCGCAAGAUCGUUUUAUUGGUUGAACUCUAGAUAACAUGCAGAUCGUAUGCUCUUGUACCGACGACAGAUCUUUCAAAUGUCUGCCCUAUCAACUUUUAAUGGUAGUAUCUAGGACUACCAUGGUUGCAACGGGUAACGGGGAAUCAGAGUUCGACUCCGGGGAGGGAGCCUGAGAAACGGCUACCACAUCUAAGGAAGGCAGCAGGCGCGUAAAUUACCCACUCCCAGCUCGGGCAGGUAGUGACGAAACAUAACAAUACAGGACUCAUAUCCGAGGCCCUGUAAUUGGAAUGAGUACACUUGAAAUCCUUUAACAAGGACGUUUUGGAGGGCAAGUCUGGUGCCAGCUGCCGCGGUAAUUCCAAUAGCUUAUAUU